rnacentral:rRNA from 1 species
UACAGAGGUCUCAAGCGUUGUUCGGAUUCAUUGGGCGUAAAGGGUGCGUAGGUGGCGCUGUAAGUCGGGUGUGAAAUCUCGGAGCUUAACUCCGAAACUGCAUUCGAUACUGCCGUGCUUGAGGACUGGAGAGGAGACUGGAAUUUACGGUGUAGCGGUGAAAUGCGUAGAUAUCAGGAGGAACACCGGUGGCGAAGGCGGGUCUCUGGGCCGAUACUGACGCUGAGGAGCGAAAGCGUGGGGAGCAAACAGG